rnacentral:rRNA from 1 species
UACGGAGGUGGCAAGCGUUGUUCGGAAUUAUUGGGCGUAAAGGGCGCGCAGGCGGCUUGGUAAGUCAGAUGUGAAAGCCCAGGGCUUAACUCGGGAAUUGCAUCUGAAACUGCUUAGCUUGAGUUUUGGAGGGGGUAGUGGAAUUCCCAGUGUAGCGGUGAAAUGCGUAGAUAUUGGGAGGAACACCAGCGGCGAAGGCGACUACCUGGACAGUAACUGACGCUGAUGCGCGAAAGCUAGGGGAGCGAACGGG